UAACACGUAGAUGACCUGCCCUAUAGUGGGGAAUAACAUCUCGAAAGAGAUGCUAAUACCGCAUAAGUUCUAUUCUGUGGGGAGUAGAGGAAACCUUGGGUGCAAGCCCUGGGGCUAAAGGAGGGGUCUGCGGCGGAUUAGCUAGUUGGUGAGGUAACGGCCCACCAAGGCGACGAUCCGUAGCUGGUCUGAGAGGACGACCAGCCACACUGGGACUGAGACACGGCCCAG
rnacentral:rRNA from 1 species